GCAUAACGCGAAGAACCUUACCAAGGCUUGACAUACACGAGAACAUCCCAGAAAUGGGGGACUCUUUGGACACUCGUGAACAGGUGGUGCAUGGUUGUCGUCAGCUCGUGUCGUGAGAUGUUGGGUUAAGUCCCGCAACGAGCGCAACCCUCGUUCUAUGUUGCCAGCACGUAAUGGUGGGAACUCAUGGGAUACUGCCGGGGUCAACUCGGAGGAAGGUGGGGAUGACGUCAAAUCAUCAUGCCCCUUAUGUCUUGGGCUUCACGCAUGCUACAAUGGCCGGUACAAAGGGCUGCAAUACCGUGAGGUGGAGCGAAUCCCAAAAAGCCGGUCCCAGUUCGGAUUGAGGUCUGCAACUCGACCUCAUGAAGUCGGAGUCGCUAGUAAUCGUGAAUCAGAAUGUCACGGUGAAUACGUUCCCGGGUCUUGUACACACCG
rnacentral:rRNA from 1 species